AUUGAACGCUAGCGGGAUGCUUUACACAUGCAAGUCGAACGAGUGGCGGACGGGUGAGUAAUAUAUCGGAACGUGCCCAGUAGCGGGGGAUAACUACUCGAAAGAGUGGCUAAUACCGCAUACUAUUGGAGCGGCCGAUAUCGGAUUAGCUAGUUGGUGGGGUAAAGGCUCACCAAGGCGACGAUCCGUAGCUGGUUUGAGAGGACGACCAGCCACAAUUGGAACGAGACAACGCCCAGACUCCUUCGGGAGGGCGCAGUGGGGAAUUUUGGAACAAGGGGGGAAGCCUUAUUCAGCCAUCCCGCGGGGAAGAGAAGGCCUUUGGGGUGGAAAGGACUUUUGGGCGGGAAAACGUAACCGGAGAAAAAGCACCGGCUAACUACGUGCCAGCAGCCGCGGUAAUUC
rnacentral:rRNA from 1 species